AUGGGAGAAAGGUUCCAGGGAGGAAGAUGUACAGAGGUAUUUCCCUGGUCCUGUUCUAGCCCCAAACCGGUUUUCCCGGUCCCACUGCCUCCAGCCCCAAGGCCUCCAACCCGCUGCCUGACAAGCCUUCACAAGAAGCAGCUGGAGAGAAAGAGAAAGAGGACUGAAAGAAAGGAGUGGGCAAUUUGGCUAUCAGCCCAGGGCUGCAGCUCGUCCCCUGUGGAGACCUCCGGACACAGAGGGCUGCUGAGGGGCCCUAGAGAAGUUGAGGUGGACCCCACUUUUCAGUCAAGUGAAAGGCAUUUGCCCAGCACCAACCGUGCCCUUCCCAGGGAACGGUCUGGUGAGAGCUUAAGAGGAAACAGAGCUAGGCCCCAAGCUCCCGCUCCCCCUCCCCAAUACAUUAAGGCACACAGACUCCAUUUCUGCCCACCCAACAGUACCCAGAAACUCUCUGCUCCUCCCAACGCUGAACUAGGAUUGGGAUCUCUCUGUGAAUCUUUCGAACUCUGCCACUGUCCUCCCUGUCUGGCCCGGUGUCUCAAAUUUAGACCUUCCAGGACCCAGCUUCGCUUCACUUUGGCACAGGCCACCACCGGGGUUAGUGAGUCUCGGAGGAGCCCUUCUCCCCCUCCCGCCUCCCUCCGCCACUCCAGUCCCUUCCCUCCCUUCUCCUCAGCGGCCUCAGCCUGCGCACCGCACCAGCGUGGCUGGGGACUGGUACUCAGGGAGCGCACCCCGUUCCCACCGCCCCAGCAUCUCCACAGCCCUGGACGCCCUCCUCCCCCACCCCCAGCAUCCGGUGCGUCUCCGCCUGGCUGGGCAGGCGGGGCGCAGCGGCCGGGGAACCGGCUCCAUGGCCUCACCUGCUCCGCUGCGGCAUCGAGGCGUCCGGCUGCGCCUGAGGGGGGAUCCCGCUCGGUGCCCGCCAGUGCGGGGUUACCGGGCUCGCUCCUCGGCGCGGUAGGGGAGGCGAGGGCGGGCCGGCAGAGGUGGAGCUGGCUGCGGGCGGAAACGGCGGCGACGCGAUUACGAAACCCGUCCGGCUAG
rnacentral:lncRNA from 1 species